UCCGUACAAAAUUAUAAUGCCUUCUCUCAUC
rnacentral:piRNA from 1 species